UGUGAUAUAAAUGAAAGCUUCUUCUGUUAAGCGGUGAAAAUUUUGAUUUUAUUUUAAUCUUAAUUUUAUUUUUAUGCUUUUUAUUUUUAUGUUUCUUCAUAAGACCAAAAAGCAUAUGCUUGAUUUGGAGCCGAUUAGAUAAUAUUACUACUGCACACUGGUAGCUAGUCAUCGGUUUGUGCUUUGCCAUCACAGUGGCCACAUGGAGUUUUUCGGAUUUUCUUCACGUGUGCAACAUCUAAAUAGAGGACACAGAACACAGUAAGUCCUCGCUAGAUGAUUUUACUUCGGCAGAACGCCUACGUGUCGCGUCAACGUAUACGAAUAAAACCAAAACUUAAAUUUGAAGCUUAUUUAUAUUGAAAUUUUGAAUACUACACAGAUAUUCAAACACUUUAAAUUUUAAAUAUGAAUAUAGUGUAGUUAAUUAUUUUGUUUCAGAUCGAAUAAGCAAUGGCGUUAAACAGGAUAUUAUUGUAAUCUAUAUUGUACUGAAAGUAUAACAGAAAUUCAUCGAAAUGUUUUGACAUGUCUCUUUCUAAUAUUAGGAAAAAUCAGAAAUUGACUUUAUUAUAACGAUCAAUAUCGUGUGCUUAAAUGCUCUUUGAAUACAUCAUGUUUUUCCGAUACAACAACUAGAAUUAAUAAAAUAAUGCAAAACAUAAGCGAUCUGCUUUAGGAACGACUUUUUACAUAGAAGUGAUCCUAUUUAGUUUUUAUUUACGCGAAGAAAAUCGGAAAACUUCAUUUGGCCAGCUCGUUUGGUAAAACGAGUAAUCGAGAUCAGUGUUUAGAGGUUUAAUUCACCCGGCCGCUUAUAGAUCAAAAAGUAUAUACCAAAUAUGUCUCAUUUAAUAUUAUUCAGUUCAUGCUUAAGUCCAUGAUGGGAUUGGACAGGUGUUUUGAGACAGGUCUUCGCCUAUCUGUAACAGAUCAUCUUAAAAACUUUACGACACCAGAAAUCGAAUCCGGAGCCUCAGACAACAGGCUAACUCUUUUUUUAGUAAAGAUUGGUACAUUAUGAAAUUUGUCUAGAGUGAUAAUGUAAAAAUCUGAAAAAAUUAAUCAGACUUGCGUAAUGCGAUUUCCGAGGGUAAAAAAACAUUAAUUUUAUUCAAUAAUGCUUCUUACUUUGAUAUUGUUUGCAGAAUAAAUGAAUACAUGAAUUACGAAGCACAUUAACGUUUACAUUUCUGAAUAUGUCUAUGAUAUAUAGCGCCAUACAGCAAUUAUUUAAGUUAAUGUCACGUUAAUGUAUAUUAGGUUAUUAGUCCAAUAUCAGUUAAAUUAGCUGAAUGAAGAGCGAUUGAAUUCGAUUUGCUUUAUUAUCGAUAUAAGACAAGACACCGAUUGAGUAACCUGCCAAAUGGCUGUUUACCAUGGAAAAUUGACUUGUCUUAAAUAUUAGACAAGUGAAGAAUAUAUGUGAAAUUUUACUUUACUAGCUCCGAAGUAAAUUGCGAAAUUACAGUAAUAAUAUGCAGAAUUUUAUUAUGUAAUCGAGUACGUUAUAAGACAUAUUUUUUUUAGUGUAAUUUUUGCUUUGACUAGUGUUAAACGUGUUUAUCAGUUCUUUAUCUUAACUUUAGAAGCGGUCUUCAUUAACUGAAAAGUGAACACAAUGGUCGAAUUACUCUUACCGGAAGUAGUUUUCUCACCUUUUCUGAUACUUAUGAAAUGUAUUUGUGCAGAUUUAUCUUUUAUCCCAGCAAAGAAAAAAAGAUUUAUAUAUACAUAUGCGACGAUUUUAAAAAUUAUGUCUGUAGUUAGAAGUAUAACUUACGUCAUCAUCUUAUGUGCGGGAACAGAAGAUAUAGCAUUAUCUCUGUGUGAUGCUUGCGGAAUAUUCCAGAAAAACGCAAACGAUGUAAGAUUAAUACAUUUUUUAUUAAGUCUUUUUAAUUUGUAUUAUUUUCGAGUGUGGAAUUUGAAAACUUUGAGGACCCCCAUUGAAAAACAUCAAUUCCUGUUGCAAGACAUCAUAAACGAACCGAUGUUCAGGCACCGAAAACUUCCCAAACUCUUAAAAAUCCAAAAUAUACUUGUCAUUUCGUGGAUUAUUAUUAUUGUAAUUUUAACCAUUGCUAUAAUAACGACAAACAGUUAUUUCUUUCUGUUACUAGCCGACACUACAUGGACUAUUCGAGAUUCUAUUUGUGUAAUUGCAUUGAAUAUAAGCAAUAUUUACAUAGCAAUGAAUAAUGUUACUAUCGUCUUCUUUAUCGUUUUGUUCUGUGAAAUGUUAAAGAUGCAGUUUUUAGUGUUAUGUGAAUAUUUGAAAAAUGAGAGCGGGGACAUUCCGUUAAGAGUUGUAACGAAAUGCUUACAAAAUUUCAAGGACAAUUUGAAGUUUAUUAACGUUAUUCAGAAUGAAUUUACAACUAUAAUAAUAAUUACUGUAAUAUGCCUGGAAUUUUCAUUAGAAAAGAUCGUUCUGUUCAAUUACGAAAUGGAAGACACGUUAAGGUUUUACAUCAAAAUGUUUAAUAUUAGCAUUUUAUUUCUCUGUUUCAGUUACUCGUAUUACUUAUCGACAUUGUCGAGAAAGGUAAGUAACGUUUUUAAAUUAAUUUGAUGUUUUUCAUUUACGAUUAAACAGUGUAUAAAAAUUUCUAGACGUAAUAUAUUAUCAGGAAAUUGCUUGGAAUUGCUCGCAGGAAAUGGAUAUCUGCACCAUAUUGUACGAUAGAUACUUUCAAUGCGAUAGUGAGGACGAUAUUCUCAUGAUUUGCAACAUGGUGAACGAGUAUCAGCAAUCAGAACUUAACUUCAAUUAUCUCGGUUGCUUUCCUAUCACACGCUUUUUCAUAUUGAAGAUGCUUGCCUACUUCUCUACUCAGACUGUGGUACUCAAAGAAUUAUAUGAAAAGUUUCAUCUUAAAAGUACUUGAAAUACGUUUGAAAUUUUCAAAUGAACAAGAAAAAAGUUACAGAUUUGUUAACAUAUUUAUAAAUGAUUAUUUUUUUGAAAGUCAUGCAAAUUCUCGACAAUAUAAUUAAAUGUUUAUGUCUUUUAAGGAAACGUAGACCAAUUCAUAUUAUAAAACAGCGUUUUUACUUUUGUUUUUAUGAUUGUUAUAUAUAACAGUAAAAGUGUAUGGCGAUCGGACAAUACGAUAUUUUUAUAUUUUUGAUUUCGAGUAACCUUUAAAAAGCAAGAAAUAGAAAAAAAAUGUGAGUAAUUAUGUGUAUAGUUGAAAACGAGCAUUGUUUUUAUAAUUUCACUAAAAGUAUUGUCUUUCUACAUUAUUCUACCCGAAGAAAACUUACUGUUAAUAUCUUCUAGUCUACUGCACGUUGAAGUUUAUCCUGUCAGAAAGAUAUUUGGACUUCGUUUUAGAUGUUUAACGCUUUCGCUAUAGGAAAGCACGUUUUUCUUCUUAAAACACCUUUCCAAAAACUCUCAAAACAGAUGACGUUCAAUUCAUGUUAAUGCACAUUUUUCAAUUGCUCUGUGGCCAGGAAUAAAGGAUAAAAAUUGCUUAACCAUUAUCGAACUUUCAUUUUUUUAUAAAGUCUAAAAACUGAAACCAUUAUCUUUAAUCUCAAAUGUAUAUGUAUAUAAUUCGUCUCUGUAAUCCAAAA